GGAAGUAGAUCAGCUGGAACAACGCAACACUGGCAGUGUUGAGGUCGGCGGUUUGAUCCCGCCUAGCUCCACCA
rnacentral:tRNA from 1 species